GAUGAACGCUGGCGGCGUGCCUAAAACAUGCAAGUCGAGCGAAUGGAUUAAGAGCUUGCUCUUAUGAAGUUAGCGGCGGACGGGUGAGUAACACGUGGGUAACCUGCCCAUAAGACUGGGAUAACUCCGGGAAACCGGGGCUAAUACCGGAUAACAUUUUGAACCGCAUGGUGCGAAAUUGAAAGGCGGCUUCGGCUGUGACUUAUGGAUGGACCCGCGUCGCAUUAGCUAGUUGGUGAGGUAACGGCUCACCAAGGCAACGAUGCGUAGCCGACCUGAGAGGGUGAUCGGCCACACUGGGACUGAGACACGGCCCAGACUCCUACGGGAGGCAGCAGUAGGGAAUCUUCCGCAAUGGACGAAAGUCUGACGGAGCAACGCCGCGUGAGUGAUGAAGGCUUUCGGGUCGUAAAACUCUGUUGUUAGGGAAGAACAAGUGCUAGUUGAAUAAGCUGACACCUUGACGGUACCUAACCAGAAAGCCACGGCUAACUACGUGCCAGCCGCCGCCGUAA
rnacentral:rRNA from 1 species